GACGAACGCUGGCGGCGUGCUUAACACAUGCAAGUCGAACGGAAAGGCCCUGCUUUUGUGGGGUGCUCGAGUGGCGAACGGGUGAGUAACACGUGAGUAACCUGCCCUUGACUUUGGGAUAACUUCAGGAAACUGGGGCUAAUACCGGAUAGGAGCUCCUGCUGCAUGGUGGGGGUUGGAAAGUUUCGGCGGUUGGGGAUGGACUCGCGGCUUAUCAGCUUGUUGGUGGGGUAGUGGCUUACCAAGGCUUUGACGGGUAGCCGGCCUGAGAGGGUGACCGGCCACAUUGGGACUGAGAUACGGCCCAGACUCCUACGGGAGGCAGCAGUGGGGAAUAUUGCACAAUGGGCGGAAGCCUGAUGCAGCAACGCCGCGUGCGGGAUGACGGCCUUCGGGUUGUAAACCGCUUUCGCCUGUGACGAAGCGUGAGUGACGGUAAUGGGUAAAGAAGCACCGGCUAACUACGUGCCAGCAGCCGCGGUGAUACGUAGGGUGCGAGCGUUGUCCGGAUUUAUUGGGCGUAAAGGGCUCGUAGGUGGUUGAUCGCGUCGGAAGUGUAAUCUUGGGGCUUAACCCUGAGCGUGCUUUCGAUACGGGUUGACUUGAGGAAGGUAGGGGAGAAUGGAAUUCCUGGUGGAGCGGUGGAAUGCGCAGAUAUCAGGAGGAACACCAGUGGCGAAGGCGGUUCUCUGGGCCUUUCCUGACGCUGAGGAGCGAAAGCGUGGGGAGCGAACAGGCUUAGAUACCCUGGUAGUCCACGCUGUAAACGGUGGGUACUAGGUGUGGGGUCCAUUCCACGGGUUCCGUGCCGUAGCUAACGCUAUAAGUACCCCGCCUGGGGAGUACGGCCGCAAGGCUAAAACUCAAAGGAAUUGACGGGGCCCCGCACAAGCGGCGGAGCAUGCGGAUUAAUUCGAUGCAACGCGUAGAACCUUACCUGGGUUUGACAUGGAUCGGGAGUGCUCAGAGAUGGGUGUGCCUCUUUUGGGGUCGGUUCACAGGUGGUGCAUGGCUGUCGUCAGCUCGUGUCGUGAGAUGUUGGGUUAAGUCCCGCAACGAGCGCAACCCUUGUUCACUGUUGCCAGCACGUUAUGGUGGGGACUCAGUGGAGACCGCCGGGGUCAACUCGGAGGAAGGUGGGGAUGACGUCAAGUCAUCAUGCCCCUUAUGUCCAGGGCUUCACGCAUGCUACAAUGGCUGGUACAGAGAGUGGCGAGCCUGUGAGGGUGAGCGAAUCUCGGAAAGCCGGUCUCAGUUCGGAUUGGGGUCUGCAACUCGACCUCAUGAAGUCGGAGUCGCUAGUAAUCGCAGAUCAGCAACGCUGCGGUGAAUACGUUCCCGGG
rnacentral:rRNA from 1 species